rnacentral:RNase_P_RNA from 1 species
AUUGAACGGUCGCGUACUGCAAGGUCGAAAGACAGCAUACGAGGAAAGUCCGGGCUCCAAAGAGCAAUGAUGCUGGAUAACGUCCAGUGAGGGAAACCUUAAGGAAAGUGCAACAGAAAAUAACCGCCAUAUUUCAGAAUAUAUUCAAGGCCUAGCCUUGCAAAAUAGCUCUGAAUGGUAAGGAUGAAAAGGCGAGGUAAGAGCUCACCGCCCGUGUGGAGACACAAGGGGUCUGUGUAAACCCCAUCUGGAGCAACACCGAAUAUAAGAAGUCUAAGGCUGCUCGCCGUCUUCUGCUUGGUGGCUUGAGGCAUAUAGCAAUAUGUGUACUAGAUAAAUGGCCGUUCUAGACAGAACCCGGCUUAUAGAUUUACC